AAUUAGAAGUCGUCAUGGCAAGAGAAAAC
rnacentral:piRNA from 1 species